UACGUAGGGUGCAAGCGUUGCUCGGAAUCAUUGGGCGUAAAGAGCGUGUAGGUGGCUAGAUAAGUCGGGUGUGAAAUCCCUCGGCUCAACCGAGGAAGUGCAUUCGAAACUAUCUAGCUCGAGGAUGGCAGAGGAAGGUGGAAUUCCUAGUGUAGAGGUGAAAUUCGUAGAUAUUAGGAGGAAUACCGGUGGCGAAGGCGGCCUUCUGGACCAUUCCUGACACUGAGACGCGAAAGCGUGGGGAGCAAACAGG
rnacentral:rRNA from 1 species